ACUAAUACUGUGGAUUAAUUUGUUCCUAAGUUUAAUGCCACGGAUGAAAUAUGAAUGUUGUGGUAUAUCCUGAUUAUUAGUUUCUACUUUGUGUUAUUUAAUCUUGAAAACGCUAUUUAAAUUU